rnacentral:rRNA from 1 species
GAUGAACGCUGGCGGCGUGCCUAAUACAUGCAAGUCGAGCGAACGGACGAGAAGCUUGCUUUUCUGAUGUUAGCGGCGGACGGGCGAGUAACACGUGGAUAACCUACCUAUAAGACUGGGAUAAUUUCGGGAAACCGGAGCUAAUACCGGAUAAUAUUUUGAACCGCAUGGUUCAAAAGUGAAAGACGGCCUUCCCGCUACUUAUAGACGGUUCCGCGCUGCAUUAGCUAGUUGGUAAGGUAACGGCUUACCAAGGCAACGAUGCAUAGCCGACCUGAGAGGGUGAUCGGCCACACUGGAACUGAGACACGGUCCAGACUCCUACGGGAGGCAGCAGUAGGGAAUCUUCCGCAAUGGGCGAAAGCCUGACGGAGCAACGCCGCGUGAGUGAUGAAGGUCUUCGGAUCGUAAAACCCUGUUAUUAGGGAAGAACAUAUGUGUAAGUAACUGUGCACAUCUUGACGGUACCUAAUCAGAAAGCCACGGCUAACUACGUG